rnacentral:lncRNA from 1 species
CUAAUCAGAAAUACUGUAUGUAGGUUGCAACCCUGUUAGAUUAGCCAGACUCAAAUUCAAAUCAGCACACUUUACAAAAUAUAAAAGUGUAUUCGACACAUUAGGCAAGAAAGUCCGUUGCAGUGUUUUGUAAUGCCUCCUCAAGGUCCAUAAAAGUCAGUGGUAGGGGAAAGCUGGGGGAAAGGUGAACCGCACUAGAUUUGGCUUUCUGCGUUUCAGUGCGUUGGUUUUUGAUUCAUUUAUUGUCUUCACAAAUCUUUUAGUUUCAUAAAAUAAAUAUAGAGUUAUUUUUGGGUUCAUCUCCUAAGGUAAACCUCUAGAUUUGCUAACCAAUAGGACUUUAUUAUUUCAAAUUUGAUAUUUAAAAAAAAA